AUUUAUAUAGUUUAAAUAAAACAUUACAUUUUCAUUGUAAAAAUAAAAAAAAUUUUUUUAUAAAUU
rnacentral:tRNA from 2 species